AGUAACGCGUGAGGAACCUGCCUCAAAGAGGGGGACAACAGUUGGAAACGACUGCUAAUACCGCAUAAGCCCGCGGCUCGGCAUCGAGCAGAGGGAAAAGGAGCAAUCCGCUUUGAGAUGGCCUCGCGUCCGAUUAGCUGGUUGGUGAGGUAAUGGCCCACCAAGGCGACGAUCGGUAGCCGGACUGAGAGGUUGAACGGCCACAUUGGGACUGAGACACGGCCCAG
rnacentral:rRNA from 1 species